CAGGUUCUGCUUCUUUGGUGUAGUCCUGAAGCUUCCUAAGAAACUUCACAUCAGGUGAUGGAUAGGAGCAACCCUGUAAAACCAGCCUUAGACUAUUUUUCAAACAGGCUGGUGAAUUACCAGAUCUCCGUCAAGUGCAGUAACCAGUUCAAGUUGGAAGUGUGUCUUUUGAAUGCAGAAAACAAAGUCGUGGACAACCAGGCUGGGACCCAGGGCCAGCUGAAGGUGCUGGGUGCCAACCUCUGGUGGCCGUACCUGAUGCACGAACACCCCGCCUACCUGUACUCGUGGGAGGAUGGUGAUUGCUCACACCAAAGCCUUGGACCCCUCCCAGCCUGUGACCUUUGGGACCAACUCCACCUACGCAGCAGACAAGGGGGCUCUGUAUGUGGAUGUGAUCCGUGUGAACAGCUACUACUCUUGGUAUCGCAACUACGGGCACCUGGAGUUGAUUCGGCUGCAGCUGGCCGCCCAGUUUGAGAAUUGGUGUAAGACAUCACAAUCCCAUUAUUCAGAGCGCGUAUGGAGUGGAAACGCUUGUAGGGUUUCACCAGGUAAGCGGUGUUGAACUUUCUGCUUGUGUAUUCUCUCUGGGCAGAGAUGCCACUUG
rnacentral:lncRNA from 1 species